CUCUCGCCUGCCUUCGGCCCUUAGGCUCCGGGAGAUUGCAAAUAACCUGCUUUCUUUCUGUUCCCAGGUGGCGUCGGACCCCUGUCAGAGAGUAAAUCUCAAGUAAGGUACCUGCCAUCGGCAGAUUUGAGCUUUCUUCUUGGACACCUAAUACCCACAGUCCUCCAGGCUCCGGUAGACUGCAAAUGACCUGCUUUCUUUCUGUUCCCGGGCUGCGUUUGGACCCCUGUCGGAUAGUAAAUCCCAAGCUCCGGUAGACUGCAAAUGACCUGCUUUCUUUCUGUUCCCGGGCUGCGUUUGGACCCCUGUCGGACAGUAAAUCCCAAGAAUGGAACAGAUAAGAAGAUACUGAAAUUGGACGGUGCUGCCGUGCGGCUGCCGCAGGACACCUUUAAUAUCCCUGUUUCUCAGGCUGUAGAUGAAGGGGUUCAGCAUGGAGGUGAUCACCGUGUACAUCACUGAGGCCACUGCAGCCUUUCUCGGGGAAGAUGACACAUCUGAACUGAGGUACCCUCCAAAGCCUGUUCCGUAAAAUCAGCAAACAACUGACAGGAUAACUUCAGGAAGUGGGUAUUAAUUCUCACGGUAUAAGUGAAGACAUUAAGCACCAGAGUUUAAGUAGCUUGAUCCACUGAAAGAGAUUCAACUGUGUGGAACCUAUGCCGUGGAGAAUUGCUUUCUGCCAUUGUUAUCGUCCAGCAGUUGCCGAAUAGCUCUGACCUGAGCAAAGCAGUGAAACGCGGUGCUGUUGAGUGGGUUGCCACUGCACCUUUUUCAACUACUCUAGUCUUGUGGAGAAAAUACCCCUUCUAAAUUUUUUCUUCAUUGAAUACUCUCCCUCAGCUCCAGAGUACCAUAUAGAGUUUUCUUGUAUUUUAGAGUUACUGUUUUAUCAAAGUUUACCAGUCUUUUGUAUUACAUUUCUCCUGUCUAAAAAAAAAAAAAAAAAAAAAAA
rnacentral:lncRNA from 1 species